rnacentral:lncRNA from 1 species
GCCUUAUUAUGUGCUUAAGAUACAAUAGGUUAGAGUUUUAUCUAAAUAUCUUGAAAGCUAUAUUGUGGGCUUGGUGAGCAUUUUGUUUUCUCUUUCUCUGUUUUGGUAAAGAUUUAAAAAGGUUUUUUCAUUGCAAUUUUAAGUGGUUUUCAAUAAGUAAUAGUUUUUAUUCCAAUUUUUGGUGCUUUGGUGCAGAGGUGGGGUAGGGAAGGGUGAAUAAUUUGAGGAAUAUUCAGUGUACACUUGUAGGCCUCUACAUUGUGACUGGUAGCAGUUGUUGCCAGUUAUCACACACCAAUUUGGGGCUGUAGAAUGCAAUCUUAGUUUCUGGGUCUUGUCUAAUCUUUAUUGCCCAUAAGAAUUUGUCUCAGGAUUACUUGGUUCUUCUCAGUACUCAAGUGAGAACUUUGCUUUUCUUUGUUAGUGUAAUUUACUGAGUGCUCACAUAUUUGGGAGUAUAAGAAGGUGGGCUAUUUUUUAUACUCUGUUCCUUUUUCUCUUUUUGGUUGAAUGUAAGUGCAUUUUAAUGUUGCUUCAGUGACUGUAUAAUGUAAAAUUAUUUCUUCUUAACAAGAAACCACUUUUGUUAAUUAUUCCUUCAGUGCUUGAUUAGAUUUUUUUAAAGCAGAAUUUAUCAAAAGGAUCAACUUAAUCCACCCCUUUUACACUUUUUGUAUUUUUUUAAGUGGCUCAUCUCAACUUUAAAAAGAAUAUCUCAAUCUUUCUGCUGUAUUCCAACCAUUAAUUUGAACUUAGGGAGGUUUUUUAAUUUAAAAAAUAUUGCAAAAAUUUAGAGAUUGAAAGAGACAUAAAAUCAGAAUUCACUCAACACCAAGCAACAGUUAGUUGGUAGAAUAGGAAAAGAUGACACUAAGUAGAGACCUUUCAAAUGAUCAGUUUAGUAUUGGCCAAAUAGGCAUAAUCAUUUACCUAGUUGGGGGGUUUUUCCUUCCACUUUUGAAAUAUAUUUUUACCUACACAAUGAGUAGAGAAAGAAGGGAAAAAUAAUUAAGAAACCUCCCAGGGCCGGGGAUUUAGCUCAGUGGUUUCGCCGCCUGCUGCGCAAGCACAAGGACCCGAGUUCGAUCUCCGGUACCAAAAAAACAAAAACCAAAAAAAGAAACCUCCCUAAAUUUGUUCUUUAUUUCCUUCUACACAGGCACUGUUAUAAUAUUCAGUGGCAUGUUAAAUUGGGUUACUUCAUUUGUUUUGAGUUGGGAAUUAUUGUGUAAUUUAUUCAUGAUUCUCAUAACAUCCAGCAUAAGUGUAGCAAAAAUUACUGAUAGCAGAAGGUAAAUCAUAAUAGUGUUGAAUGUAAUUUUGAAGAAGGAGAUGGCCUUUAAGUCUGAGAGAGAACAUUUAAAUCCUUUUCAGGGAUUUGUGUAGAUAGAUGUGUGUGUGUGUGUGUGUGUGUGUGUGUUUGCGCUUGUGUGUGUAUAUAGAUAAGUGUAUAUACAUACAUGCGUCCUUCUAAUGUUGUAUAUACAUAUGCACAUUACAUACAUUUUAAUUUAUUGACAAAGAAUAACCAAAUUAAGAUUUGGAAAAGUGGGAUAUUCUUGUUUUUAAAGAGCAUGUUCAAAGCCAUCAGAUUGUGUUUAAAAUUAGCUGUAGCACAUGGAUGUUGUCCUUAUUGAGCUCUUGGCUGUUUGAAUUAUAGAAGUCUACAGUAUUUGUGUUGGCAUAGCUUUUGUAAAAAAAUUUAAACAUAUCAGGGUGGUGGAAAAAUGGGAUCUGUAUAUUUUUAUUUUGGCAUGGAUUUUUCAGUAUAUGCUAAGGGAUGGUUUGUUUUUGCUGUCGAUCUGCCACAGUAUCCUAUUUUUAAAUUUAUUUACUUUAUUUUAAGGAAUAUUGGUGUAUCAUUUUUUGAGGUAUCUUGACUUUUACACAAAGUAUAUACAUUCAGGACUUUAAAAAAUAGCAGUUCACAUUUAACAAUAGCAAUCUAUGCCGAAAUGUUUUAAGAUUUGAAUAACUUGGGUAGUAGUAAAAUGUUUUAUGUAAGAUACAAAGUAGCAAAAUAUUGUAUUACCUUAAUUGACAAUUUAUUUACUGGAGAGUAUCAGAAUGACCCAGUAGCUCCUACAGAAUGCCAUAAAUUACUUAAGCCUAAAUAUUAUCAGUUAAUCAUAACAAUGUUUGAACUUAGUUUUUAGAGCCGCAAUUUCUUCCAGCCUGAUUCCUUAGCAAGGCCUUCCUUGGCUCCACCUACUAAGCUGAUCCUAGGUUCUGCUUUAGUUGAAGAAUUAGCUCUUAUUGUCAGAUUCCUUGUCAUCAGAUCACUAUGUUUAUAUUUUAAUAUACUGUUAGGAAGUUUCUUUUCUGUUUCCAUUAAAUAUUUUUGGACAAAAAAGUGACAAACUUGAAAGUAUGUGUUCUUUUUCUUCCCCAGCAAAUCACUGAAAUACCUUGUUUGCCAAACUGUCAGCCUUUUUAAAAAUAUAAUGUGUACUGCUAUUUUUAAACCAAAAAGAGACAGCAACUAUGUGUAAUACAUUUUUCUUACCCUUUCCUUUGUCUCAAUCUGUUAUUAAUGAAAAUAAAACUGCCAGACCUAAACAAAUAUGAUUUAGAUUGCACAAAAUUUUGAAGUGUAACUCAGCUGUCUUUCACAAGAAUUGUGUUGUUAUCUACAAGACUAUUACAGUCUUUUUUCGGAGCAACUUCUAACAGCUAGUUGUGAAUGGUUUAAAAAGUAGGAGAUUACUAAAAUCCUAAUUUGGGGGGUUUUAUAAAAAGAGAAAAACAAAACAGGACCAAAGUCUAUGUGCCUUCUUCAGUAGUCUUAAUUGACCUUUUCUUCCUAUUUGAGACUAAGGUAGUAUCAGUAUUCUGAUUUUCAGGAAGUAUGUACUAUGUAGUUUUAAGAGAAUGUUAUCCCACAAACUAGUCAUACAAGCAAAUAAUUGUAACUCUGUAAAUGCAUUCUCUGUUACACUUUUGCCUUGAUCACAUAAUAUUCAUUAUAGAGCUUUUGCUGGUUCAAGAACAGAACUGCUCUAAAUCUUUGUGGUAGUCACCUUAGUUUUUGAAAUCUGAGGCAUAUGUUCCAGAGAACAGGGAUAUUUGUCUGGUCCAGUGACCUUGGUGAUAAUGGUGAUGAUUGAAAGCUGCUUAAGGCAAGCUCAACACUGUCAACAGAUUUUUGUUGUUGUUAUUUUUCACUUGUUGGAUUUAUAUAGUAGUUGUAAUAACAUAUUUAAAUAGCUAUUUUUUGGUGUCAUUUAAAAAAAAUCAUACUCUGGCCUUUUUUUCCAUUUCCAUUAUUGUUACCCAGAUCUUUAAAAAAUUCAUCCCACAUCUAGAAAGUACUAAUUAUAAAGAUUGUUGACCAGGCAAAGUUUUACAUCAAAAUGUCACCUCAUUGCUCUGACCAAAGACUGACUGUUCUGGUUUUAACUCCUCUAUCAAGCAUUUUCCCCGAGCUCCUUUCUGAAAGACCCAGUGCAAAGCGGCCUUUACUUCCUAUUUCCUAUUAGUGAAUAGACUACUUAAAGAAAUGGGAGUUUAAACAUGAACAGAAUGGACUAGGAUGACAAGAGUUUGAUGGGCAUUUUCAGUACUGUAUUCAGAAAAAAUAAAUAGCACAGCUAGGAGCCUCUGACAUUGUCUUGUGUUUUACGCGGUCUGUUCAUAAAAUUCCCUUUUUCAGUUUGUAAGAAUGUUCACCUAACAGAAGAAAAUGCUGUAAAUAUUUGUAACAACUUUUUUUUAACCAGGCCAAAAAAGAAAAAAAAGGUUUUGGGAACAAGUUAACAUAUAAAGUGGUUUUAUGUAAAACAUCAAUUGUCUUGUAUAUUUUGAUAAGCAGCAGUACCAGCUUUCAUUUGUAAUACGGUUUGUGGCAUUGGAAGAAAAGGAUUCUGUGAUCGUUGAAGUGAAUUAUGUUAUAAAUGCAAAGAGAAGAUAAAAUAUUAAAAGCAUAUUUUCUAAAUGCGUAGUGCAUGGUUAAUUCAAGCUUCUGUACUCUACAGUAUAUUCCAUUUUCCUGCAGUUUGUAUAUUUGCUAUUACUUGAUAUCUCUAAUCUCUUUUCCUAACAAUAUAGCAUUGUAGCAUGCCUUUUAAUAAAUGUCAUAACAUCUGUAGUCUCUUAAA